rnacentral:tRNA from 1 species
GGGGCCGUAGUUCACUAGGGAGAACGUUGCGUUCGCAUCGCAAAGGUAAGGGGUUCGAAUCCCCUCGGCUCCACCA